GUAACGAGCGCAACCCUUGUCCUUAGUUACCAGCACGUUAUGGUGGGCACUCUAAGGAGACUGCCGGUGACAAACCGGAGGAAGGUGGGGAUGACGUCAAGUCAUCAUGGCCCUUACGGCCUGGGCUACACACGUGCUACAAUGGUCGGUACAAAGGGUUGCCAAGCCGCGAGGUGGAGCUAAUCCUAUAAAACCGAUCGUAGUCCGGAUCGCAGUCUGCAACUCGACUGCGUGAAGUCGGAAUCGCUAGUAAUCGUGAAUCAGAAUGUCACGGUGAAUACGUUCCCGGGCCUU
rnacentral:rRNA from 1 species